rnacentral:rRNA from 1 species
AUUGAACGCUGGCGGCAGGCCUAACACAUGCAAGUCGAGCGGAUGAAGGGUGCUUGCUCCUGGAUUCAGCGGCGGACGGGUGAGUAAUGCCUAGGAAUCUGCCUGGUAGUGGGGGAUAACGUCCGGAAACGGGCGCUAAUACCGCAUACGUCCUGAGGGAGAAAGUGGGGGAUCUUCGGACCUCACGCUAUCAGAUGAGCCUAGGUCGGAUUAGCUAGUUGGUGAGGUAAAGGCCUACCAAGGCGACGAUCCGUAACUGGUCUGAGAGGAUGAUCAGUCACACUGGAACUGAGACACGGUCCAGACUCCUACGGGAGGCAGCAGUGGGGAAUAUUGGACAAUGGGCGAAAGCCUGAUCCAGCCAUGCCGCGUGUGUGAAGAAGGUCUUCGGAUUGUAAAGCACUUUAAGUUGGGAGGAAGGGCAGUAAGUUAAUACCUUGCUGUUUUGACGUUACCAACAGAAUAAGCACCGGCUAACUUCGUG